GCGCGCAAAUUACCCAAUCCUGACACGGGGAGGUAGUGACAAUAAAUAACAAUACCGGGCGCGUUAGUGUCUGGUAAUUGGAAUGAGUACAAUCUAAAUCCCUUAACGAGGAACCAUUGGAGGCAAGUCUGGUGCCAG
rnacentral:rRNA from 1 species